rnacentral:rRNA from 1 species
UACGGGGGGAGCAAGCGUUGUUCGGAUUUACUGGGCGUAAAGGGCGCGUAGGCGGCCACCGCAAGUCGACUGUGAAAUCUCCGGGCUUAACUCGGAAAGGUCAGCCGAUACUGCGGGGCUAGAGUGCAGAAGGGGCAACUGGAAUUCUCGGUGUAGCGGUGAAAUGCGUAGAUAUCGAGAGGAACACCUGCGGCGAAGGCGGGUUGCUGGGCUGUAACUGACGCUGAGGCACGAAAGUGUGGGGAUCAAACAGG